rnacentral:rRNA from 1 species
UGGGGAAUAUUGGACAAUGGGCGAAAGCCUGAUCCAGCCAUGCCGCGUGUGUGAAGAAGGUCUUCGGAUUGUAAAGCACUUUAAGUUGGGAGGAAGGGCAGUAACCUAAUACGUUGCUGUCUUGACGUUACCGACAGAAUAAGCACCGGCUAACUCUGUGCCAGCAGCCGCGGUAAUACAGAGGGUGCAAGCGUUAAUCGGAAUUACUGGGCGUAAAGCGCGCGUAGGUGGUUUGUUAAGUUGGAUGUGAAAUCCCCGGGCUCAACCUGGGAACUGCAUUCAAAACUGACAAGCUAGAGUAUGGUAGAGGGUGGUGGAAUUUCCUGUGUAGCGGUGAAAUGCGUAGAUAUAGGAAGGAACACCAGUGGCGAAGGCGACCACCUGGACUGAUACUGACACUGAGGUGCGAAAGCGUGGGGAGCAAACAGGAUUAGAUACCCUUGUAGUCCCUGAGCGGGCUGGCAAGGCGCAU